rnacentral:piRNA from 1 species
UAGUCAGGACUGUGCACAUUUGGUCAUAGU